rnacentral:rRNA from 1 species
UACGGAGGAUCCAAGCGUUAUCCGGAUUUAUUGGGUUUAAAGGGUGCGUAGGCGGAAUGAUAAGUCAGUGGUGAAAGCCUGCAGCUUAACUGCAGAACUGCCAUUGAUACUGUCAAUCUUGAGUACAUUUUGAUGUGGGCGGAAUGUGUCAUGUAGCGGUGAAAAUGCUUUAGAUAUGACACAGAAACACCGAUUGCGAAGGCAGCUCACAAAAACUGUAAACUGACGCUUGAAGGGCACGAAAAGCGUGGGGUAUCAAAA